AUUGAACGCUGGCGGCAUGCCUUACACAUGCAAGUCGAACGGCAGCGGACCUUCGGGUGCCGGCGAGUGGCGAACGGGUGAGUAAUAUAUCGGAACGUACCUUUCAGUGGGGGAUAACGUAGCGAAAGUUACGCUAAUACCGCAUAUUCUGUGAGCAGGAAAGCAGGGGAUCGCAAGACCUUGCGCUGAUUGAGCGGCCGAUAUCAGAUUAGCUAGUUGGUGAGGUAAAGGCUCACCAAGGCGACGAUCUGUAGCGGGUCUGAGAGGAUGAUCCGCCACACUGGAACUGAGACACGGUCCAGACUCCUACGGGAGGCAGCAGUGGGGAAUUUUGGACAAUGGGCGCAAGCCUGAUCCAGCCAUGCCGCGUGAGUGACGAAGGCCUCGGUUGUAA
rnacentral:rRNA from 1 species